GGAAGUCUCAUUGAGCUGUCCUUUUAUCUUUACCCUGUCUCCACAGCUCUUCUGCAGGUGGCAAGGGAAACAUGUCAUCUGGAAGCAACAGCUGGCAGGAUGGGAGAAGACGUGAAGAAAUGCCACCUUGCUUGGAACAGCACACUUUCUGAAGACCGUAGCACAAGCAAAGACAUUGGGAAACCCUCAGCACACUUCACCCAGCAAGCGGGAUGCUCCGCUGUGUAAUCACAAGACACAGCUUCGUCACCCUUAUCCAGCCCCAUAGGCAGAACCAUGGAGUGAGAUGAAGCCAGCGGCCAAGUGAAAUCCAAGCUCACAGGAGCCUCAUUAGGAUUGUUCGUCCCCAACUACAGCCUAGCUCUGUGAGUCUGUCCACAUCCCUUGGCUUAAGGAAGGAGGUACUCUUCAGAUAGCCAUAAGGUGAUCAAGAGAACUGGGAGGUUUACUCAACCAGGGAGAUGAUAGAAGUACAGCAGUGACCGGAGGGCCUCUGAAUUAUGCUGCAAUGAAGGCACAAAAGAUGAGCAUAAAAGCUUGAAGAGUCAUUUCCAUUACAACUUGGACUAUUGAUAGAGUUAGAGAGUGCUAAUUUGUGUAUCUAUGCUCUGGUAGACUCAGUACAAUCCUGGGUGGACGUUUAAGAGUCUCUUCUGAGGGUCCCUGAAUAGUUCUUUGAACUAAUCAAGGAUUUGUCUCUACAUAAGUA
rnacentral:lncRNA from 1 species